rnacentral:rRNA from 1 species
UACGGAGGAUGCAAGCGUUAUCCGGAAUGAUUGGGCGUAAAGCGUCCGCAGGUGGCUGUGUAAGUCUGCUGUCAAAGAGCAAAGCUCAACUUUGUAAAGGCAGUGGAAACUACACGGCUAGAGUGCGUUCGGGGCAGAGGGAAUUCCUGGUGUAGCGGUGAAAUGCGCAGAUAUCAGGAAGAACACCAAUGGCGAAAGCAGCUUUCUGGGACGGUACUGACGCUGAGACGCGAAAGCGUGGGGAGCGAACAGG